rnacentral:rRNA from 1 species
UUGGAGGGCAAGUCUGGUGCCAGCAGCCGCGGUAAUUCCAGCUCCAAUAGCGUAUAUUAAAGUUGUUGCAGUUAAAAAGCUCGUAGUUGAAUUUCGGAAUUUUUUUAUCGGUUGAAUCAACAGGUUCGUACUGAUUUUAAGAAUUUCUACCUUCUGGAGAACCUUAAUGUCAUUUAUUUGGUGUUUUGGGAAACCAGGACUGUUACCUUGAAAAAAUUAGAGUGUUUAAAGCAGGCUUUUGUCUGAAUAUAUUAGCAUGGAAUAAUGAAAUAGGACGGCAUGGUUCUAUUUUGUUGGUUUCUAGGAUCGCCGUAAUGAUUAAUAGGGAUAGUUGGGGGCAUUAGUAUUCAAUUGUCAGAGGUGAAAUUCUUGGAUUUAUUGAAGACUAACUUCUGCGAAAGCAUUUGCCAAGGAUGUUUUCAUUAAUCAAGAACGAAAGUUAGGGGAUCGAAGACGAUCAGAUACCGUCGUAGUCUUAACCAUAAACUAUGCCGACUAGGAAUCGGACGAAGUUAAUUUUUUAAUGACUCGUUCGGCGCCUUACGGGAAAC